rnacentral:rRNA from 1 species
GAGUUUGAUCCUGGCUCAGGAUGAACGCUGGCGGCGUGCCUAACACAUGCAAGUCGAGCGAGAAAUAGUCAGACGGAGAUUUCGGUUGAAGGAUGGUUAUGGAAAGCGGCGGACGGGUGAGUAACGCGUAGGCAACCUGCCUCAUGCAGAGGGAUAGCCUCGGGAAACCGGGAUUAAAACCUCAUAAGGCCAAGGGGACACAUGUUUUCGUGGUCAAAGAUUUAUCGGCAUGAGAUGGGCCUGCGUCUGAUUAGCUAGUUGGUGGGGUAACGGCUCACCAAGGCGACGAUCAGUAGCCGACCUGAGAGGGUAAUCGGCCACAUUGGAACUGAGACACGGUCCAAACUCCUACGGGAGGCAGCAGUGGGGAAUAUUGCACAAUGGGCGAAAGCCUGAUGCAGCAACGCCGCGUGAGCGAAGAAGGCCUUUGGGUCGUAAAGCUCUGUCGGUAGGGAAGAAACAAAUGACGGUACCUACCGAGGAAGCCCCGGCUAACUACGUGCCAGCAGCCGCGGUAAUACGUAGGGGGGCAAGCGUUAUCCGGAAUUUAUUGGGCGUAAAGAGUGCGUAGGUGGUUUCUAAGCGUGGGGUGAAAGGCAGUGGCUUAACCAUUGUAAGCCCUGCGAACUGGGAGACUUGAGUGCAGGAGAGGAAAGUGGAAUUCCUAGUUGU